rnacentral:tRNA from 1 species
GGUCGAAUAGCUCAGUGGUAGAGCAGAGCCUCAUAAGCCAGUGGUCGAUGGCUCGAUCCCAUCUGCGACUACCA